rnacentral:tRNA from 1 species
GCCUGUGGCUUAAUGGGUAGGGCGUUGGUCCCAUAUACCAAGGGUGGCAGGUUCGAACCCAGCCCUGGC